AUGCUGCUCCCGGGAGCAGGCUCUGCCGGCGCAGCAUUCACAAGGCCCUGUCUACUGGCGUGGGGCCCUGCCGGCGGGCGCUGCUCCCCCGGGUGCAACGCUGCCAGCAGUGCCAGGCACGGCCUCUUCCCGCGCUGCUGCAGGGCUCCCUGCCGGCGCCUGGAGGCAGCUGGGAAGAGCUGCAGAGCUCCAUGCUCUGCCCCGCGGUCCAUGAGCUCGGCUCGGCGUGCUGGUGUCGUCCUCGGCCUGGCUGCGGGACCGCAGAGCAGGUUUGCACAAAGGUCUGGGCUGGCAGUGGCCUCCCUGGGUGGAGGGAAGAGCACGGGAACGGCAGCAGCCCCYGUGUGUCCCUCUGCGUGGGCUUGCUGCGACGGACGGUCCCCCCAUGCCGUGGCUGCCCCCGUCCCUGUGCCACAGCGUCCCUGCAGUGCGCGGAGCUCUAUGUGGGGCUUGGCCGCCCUGGGAUGCCCGGCUCUGCAGGGAUCCCGUUGGAUCUGGUGCCUUCCGAGGCAAGGCUGCUGCCCCCCUUCCUGCCUGCAGACCCAGCUGUUGGGGCUCUGGGGCUGCGGGACGAGGCGGCACAGAGCACCAGGGCCGAGCGCUGGCUCUGGUGGCAGAGCUCGUCCUCCACCCUGCUACCUGACUCCGUGCCCAGAGCCCAGGGCUGGGACAGCAGCCGGACGGGGCACAAGGUGCACAGGCUUGCGCUGUCCUCGAGGGGUUUCCACCUGGAGCACAGCGAGCCCAGGUUGGCCGGCUGAGCUGCUUCCCGGAGGAAGGCAGUCGGGGCCCUCAUCAGCUGCUGAGGCAUGCUGGGCCCCCGGGGCUGGGGCAGCUCGGCGCUCUGCGUGCAAGGAGGCGCCUCCACCUCCGCACAGACCCUCUCCGGCACCGCUGCCAGCCCUGUGGCGGGGGGGUGGCGUGGCCAUCCACGCGGGUGCRGGCUGUGCCUGUGGUCUGCAGGGCGGUGUGCCCGUCUGCCAGCAGCACGCCAGUCCCCAGCGUCCCCAACAUCCCGAGCUUGCAGCUGGAGAGGCCCCACAGCCCCGAGAGAGGGGUUGCCCCAUGGACCGCGGGACGGGCACAGGCGGUCAGUGCACACUGAUGCCCCCGCACUGCCCUGCUCGGCACCGGGGCUGCCCCGCGGACCGCGGGACGGGCACAGGCAGUCAGUGUGUGCAGAUGCCCCCGUGCUGCUCUGCUCGGCACCGGGGCUGCCCCGCGGACCGCGGGACGGGCACGGGCAGUCAGUGUGUGCAGAUGCCCCCGUGCUGCUCUGCUCGGCACCGGGGCUGCCCCGCAGACCAUGGGAUGGGCACGGGCAGUCGCUGCGCAUGGAUGCCACUGUGCUGCCCCGCUCCGGGCCUCUCCCACUGCUGGGACCCAGGGCCAUGGAUUGGGCUUGGCCCCAGAUGCAUCGCUGUCCCAUGGCCCCGUCCCCGUGCGUGGCUCCCGGCACCCCUUGGCACCAGUGCGGGGGACUGCACGCCGUCCUGCGCCCUUGCUGCCAGCUGGCUGCGCCCGCUGGGCCGGGGCCAGCGAUUGCUGGGGUGA
ensembl:lncRNA